CGAACGAAAAAGGGGGCUUCGGUCCCUGAGUAGAGCGGCGCACGGGUGAGUAACGCGUGGAUAAUCUACCCAUAAGCCUGGGAUAACAGCGAGAAAUUGCUGCUAAUACCGGAUAAGUUUAUGUGCUGUAGGGGCAGGUGGGAAAAGGCGGUCUCUGGAACAAGCUGCCGUUUAUGGAUGAGUCCGCGUCCCAUUAGCUAGUUGGUGGGGUAAAGGCCUACCAAGGCGACGAUGGGUAGCCGGCCUGAGAGGGUGGCCGGCCAUACUGGAACUGGAACACGGUCCAGACUCCUACGGGAGGCAGCAGUGGGGAAUAUUGCGCAAUGGGCGCAAGCCUGACGCAGCAACGCCGCGUGAGGGAAGAAGGUUUUCGGAUCGUAAACCUCUGUCGGGAGGGAAGAACGGCUUGGGGCUGAACAGGCCCUGGGAUUGACGGUACCUCCAAAGGAAGCACCGGCUAACUCCGUGCCAGCAGCCGCGGUAAUACGGAGGGUGCGAGCGUUAUUCGGAAUUACUGGGCGUAAAGGGCGUGUAGGCGGCCUUGCAAGUCAGUUGUGAAAUCCCACGGCUUACCGUGGAACUGCAUUUGAAACUGCAAGGCUAGGAGUGCGGGAGAGGGCGGCGGAAUUCCCGGUGUAGGGGUGAAAUCCGUAGAUAUCGGAAGGAACACC
rnacentral:rRNA from 1 species